ACGUAUAACUUAUACGGAUUUAUGGGCAUUUACGCAUCCGUACUUGUUCAAAAUUUAUAAUAAGCAAGUUUCCGGUCUAAUCGCAAGGUCAAAAAUAAAAUUUGUAAAGUUGUAAAAUGAACUAUGUUUACUAUCAGCGAUUGACGAGUAAUCUGAUUUAGAACCAUAUGAUAGAAAACUAUGCUUAGAUUCCGAAGAUCAGGACUAAGAAAAUUUGAUAUAUUCGUGGCUGUAGUGUUGGGUGUCAUCACGGGAAAUUAUAUCUGGAAGCCUGUUUUUGAAAAACAAAUUCAUAAGAAGGAAGUUAAAGAACCAGAAUUACUUGUAAACGACUUAAGUUCAGAACUAGAUUCUAGUGAAGCAUAAAUUUCAAAAUUGACAAAAGGAAAGCUCACCUAUGUGAAAGGAAGAGCAUACAAGCCUAACUAGGAAUUGAUACAAAGAGCCUGUAACUUAUAUAGUAUCUGACAAUAGUUUAAAAUGACAAGUACAACUUUGCUUCAAAAGGCUUCAAAAAUAUCACCAUUUGUGUUUUACUUUUCAUUUACAUUGUUUGGUUAUCUUUACAAAAAGAAAGGUCAAUAUUAUGGUGCACAGAGAGAAGUUGAAGGUCUCCUGAAGAGACGACAGCAUACAAGUUAACAGUUCUUGUCUUCUGGAAAAAGUAGAUACACAGAAUAUUUGUGACUUUUGAAUUUCAAUAUAUGUUUCAGAAAGUUAAUACAUAAAAUUAAAUUUAACUAUUGUGUUGU
rnacentral:lncRNA from 1 species